rnacentral:rRNA from 1 species
UACGUAGGGGGCAAGCGUUGUCCGGAAUCAUUGGGCGUAAAGCGCGUGUAGGCGGCUCAGUAAGUCCGCUCUGAAAGCCCGGGGCUUAACCCCGGGAGGCGGGUGGAUACUGCUGAGCUUGAGUCCGGAAGAGGCGAGUGGAAUUCCCGGUGUAGCGGUGAAAUGCGCAGAUAUCGGGAGGAACACCAAUGGCGAAGGCAGCUCGCUGGGACGUGACUGACGCUGAGACGCGAAAGCGUGGGGAGGCAAACAGG